rnacentral:lncRNA from 1 species
GCUCAGAAGACGAUGAGGGUGGAAUUCUGUCUGCGAUGAGGGUGGAAUUCUGUCUGCCUCAGGUGCUGGUUGAAGGUGGGGAGGAGGCGGUGGUAGGAGAGGAAAAGAGGAGGGCCUCAGGGAAUGCCUGUGCUAGAGGGGUCAGUGCCAUGGGAAUGAGGAAUGGAGAGGAUCCCAGGAAGCACAGGAGGAAACACAAGUCAAUGCCUCAGAGCCAGGGAACAGGAUGAACAAGAACAAUCAGAAGGUGACCUUGAGCUAAAUGAAGCAAUUGCAGCAGAUCUACAGGUCAGCUGAGGUGGCUCUUUCAAGCUCUGUGGGCUGCUGGAAAAACUGCGCUCCAUAUAUCUCAUUUUGGGACCUACACUGAAG